UCUAUCUCAAAAAUAAACAUUAAAAUAAUUAAAAAAAUAGAGAAGAUUGGCAUGGUAACUUUGCAAAGAGGACACACAAAUUCAUGAAGUGUUCCAUGUUGUU